CCUACGGGGGGCAGCAGUGGGGAAUAUUGCACAAUGGGCGCAAGCCUGAUGCAGCCAUGCUGCGUGUGUGAAGAAGGCCUUCGGGUUGUAAAGCACUUUCAGCGGGGAGGAAGGCGUUAAGGUUAAUAACCUUGGCGAUUGACGUUACCCGCAGAAGAAGCACCGGCUAACUCCGUGCCAGCAGCCGCGGUAAUACGGAGGGUGCAAGCGUUAAUCGGAAUUACUGGGCGUAAAGCGCACGCAGGCGGUCUGUCAAGUCGGAUGUGAAAUCCCCGGGCUCAACCUGGGAACUGCAUUCGAAACUGGCAGGCUAGAGUCUUGUAGAGGGGGGUAGAAUUCCAGGUGUAGCGGUGAAAUGCGUAGAGAUCUGGAGGAAUACCGGUGGCGAAGGCGGCCCCCUGGACAAAGACUGACGCUCAGGUGCGAAAGCGUGGGGAGCAAACAGGAUUAGAUACCCGAGUAGUC
rnacentral:rRNA from 1 species